AAACAUGUGCUCACGACUCUUUCUCCCAUAUUAACAAUGCGCAUGCAAAUCUUCGCAAACUGUCGUAUUCCCGGAAACACCCGAAUCAUUGAAUCAUAAGAGCCACUUGCAUUUUUAUCCUUGUUCGAAAGAAAUAGUAGUCAAUAUCAUGUGACACAUAAUCGAAAACAAUUUGGGCGGUCGGUGGCUGUCACCGAUCAGUCAAGGGUCUCAAGGUCAAGAUCAGUAUUACUUUUGUGGAAU